AGCCAGGCCCUGCGCUAGUGGCUGCCGCCCAACUCCGUCAGGACCGGAAGGUAGCAGCGGUAAGUGGUAUGCCGCUGAGCCGCAGUCAGCUUGGUUGGC
rnacentral:SRP_RNA from 1 species